rnacentral:snoRNA from 1 species
UUGCAGCCAGUUAAGCCGACCCAGUUCCUUUCCUCUUUGGGGUCUGUUGUGCAAUAGCUGCAAACAGUGGCUUCCUUGGUAGUGUAUGCAGCCUGUU